rnacentral:rRNA from 1 species
CCUACGGGAGGCAGCAGUGAGGAAUAUUGGUCAAUGGACGCAAGUCUGAACCAGCCACGCCGCGUGCAGGAUGACGGCUCUAUGAGUUGUAAACUGCUUUUGUACGAGGGUAAACCCCGAUACGCCUAUCGGGUUGAAAGUAUCGUACGAAUAAGGAUCGGCUAACUCCGUGCCAGCAGCCGCGGUAAUACGGAGGAUCCGAGCGUUAUCCGGAGUUAUUGGGUUUAAAGGGUGCGUAGGUGGUUGGAUAAGGUAGAGGUGAAAUGUCGGGGCUCAACCCCGAAACUGCCUGUGAUACUGUUGGACUAGAGAAUAGUUGCGGUAGGCGGAAUGUAUGGUGUAGCGGUGAAAUGCUUAGAGAUCAUGCAGAACACCGAUUGCGAAGGCGGCUUACCGAACUAUAUCUGACGUUGAGGCACGAAAGCGUGGGUAGCAAACAGGAUUAGAUACCCUUGUAGUC